GGCAGAGUGGCUCAAGUGGUAGAGUGUGUGCCUAGCAAGCACAAGGCCCUGAGUUCAAACCCCAGUGCUGCCC